rnacentral:rRNA from 1 species
AAUUGUCUUGUAAUUGGAAUGAUGGUGACGUAAAAUCUCACCAGAGUAACAAUUGGAGGGCAAGUCUGGUGCCAGCAGCCGCGGUAAUUCCAGCUCCAAUAGCGUAUAUUAAACUUGUUGCAGUUAAAAAGCUCGUAGUUGAAUUUCUGCGUUGCCCGACUCGGCUACUUGCCUUGUCUGGUUUCGCUUUUGGGGUUUUCCCCUUUUUACUUUGAGAAAAUUAGAGUGUUUCAAGCAGACUUGUGUCUUGAAUACUUCAGCAUGGAAUAAUAAAGUAGGACUUUGGUUCUAUUUUGUUGGUUUGUGAA